rnacentral:rRNA from 1 species
GAUGAACGCUAGCUACAGGCUUAACACAUGCAAGUCGAGGGACCGGCGCACGGGUGAGUAACGCGUAUCCAACCUACUCAAUACUCAGGCAUAACCCGAUGAAAGACGGACUAAUUCCAGAUGGUAUUGGAUGGGGAUGCGUCUGAUUAGUUUGUUGGGGAGGUAACGGCUCACAAAGACUUCGAUCAGUAGGGGUUCUGAGAGGAAGGUCCCCCAGAUGGGAACUGGAACACGGUCGAAACCAGUACGGGCGGCAGAAUUGAGGAAUAUUGGGCAAUGGAGGCAAAUCUGAACCAGCCAAGUAGCGGGCAGGAUGACGGCCUAUGGGUUGUAAACUGUUUUUAUGUGAGAAUAUGUAUCACAUGAAUAAGGACCGGCUAAUUCCGUGCCAGCAGCGGCGGUAAUUC